GACGAACGCUGGCGGCGUGCCUAAUACAUGCAAGUCGAACGCUUCUUUCCUCCCGAGUGCUUGCACUCAAUUGGAAAGAGGAGUGGCGGACGGGUGAGUAACACGUGGGUAGCCUACCCAUCAGAGGGGGAUAACACUUGGAAACAGGUGCUAAUACCGCAUAACAGUUUAUGCCGCAUGGCAUAAGAGUGAAAGGCGCUUUCGGGUGUCGCUGAUGGAUGGACCCGCGGUGCAUUAGCUAGUUGGUGAGGUAACGGCUCACCAAGGCCAUGAUGCAUAGCCGACCUGAGAGGGUGAUCGGCCACACUGGGACUGAGACACGGCCCAGACUCCUACGGGAGGCAGCAGUAGGGAAUCUUCGGCAAUGGACGAAAGUCUGACCGAGCAACGCCGCGUGAGUGAAGAAGGUUUUCGGAUCGUAAAACUCUGUUGUUAGAGAAGAACAAGGACGUUAGUAACUGAACGUCCCCUGACGGUAUCUAACCAGAAAGCCACGGCUAACUACGUG
rnacentral:rRNA from 1 species